UCGGGAAUAUUGGACAAUGGGGGCAACCCUGAUCCAGCAAUGCCGCGUGUGUGAAGAAGGCCUGCGGGUUGUAAAGCACUUUCAGCGAGGAGGAAAACGCCAAGGUUAAUACCCUUGGACAUUGACGUUACUCGCAGAAGAAGCACCGGCUAACUCCGUGCCAGCAGCCGCGGUAAUACGGAGGGUGCGAGCGUUAAUCGGAAUUACUGGGCGUAAAGCGCGCGUAGGCGGUCAUGUAAGUUGGGUGUGAAAGCCCCGGGCUUAACCUGGGAAUUGCACUCAAAACUGCAUGACUAGAGUAUGGGAGAGGGAAGUGGAAUUCCGGGUGUAGCGGUGAAAUGCGUAGAUAUCCGGAGGAACACCAGUGGCGAAGGCGACUUCCUGGCCCAAUACUGACGCUGAGGUGCGAAAGCGUGGGUAGCAAACAGGAUUAGAUACCCCUGUAGUCC
rnacentral:rRNA from 1 species